rnacentral:rRNA from 1 species
GACGAACCGUGCGAACGUUGUUCGGAAUCACUGGGCUUAAAGGGCGCGUAGGCGGCCACCGCAAGUCGACUGUGAAAUCUCCGGGCUUAACCCGGAAAGGUCAGCCGAUACUGCGGGGCUAGAGUGCAGAAGGGGCAACUGGAAUUCUCGGUGUAGCGGUGAAAUGCGUAGAUAUCGAGAGGAACACCUGCGGCGAAGGCGGGUUGCUGGGCUGACACUGACGCUGAUGCGCGAAAGCUAGGGGAGCGAACGGG